rnacentral:lncRNA from 1 species
CUCCACCUGCCACACAAAAAUAAAAGGAGACCCUCUAGACCCCAUACAUAUCCCGUUCAUAGUAAUGUAGGAAAGUUGUAUUGCACCCAUCCUUUACAAAGCUCCGCAUGACCCCCCCCCCAAAAAAAAAAGGAAAACUGAAUUAAGAUGAAGAAUUGACACACUACUCACCCAGUUUAUGUAACAUAAUCAAGGUAGUGGGACCAUCCAAGAGGCAAAAGAUUGCUUGAAGGCGAAAACACAAAGGCCAGAAGCAAUGGCCUUUCAAAAUAGGCCAUUGUCCAACCAAUAGGCCAAGGUUAAUCCAGUCAUGCAUGCAAUUCCCUUACUAAACUAGAUUUUAAGGAUUUUAUCAAAUGAUGUAACCAAGUACAUUACAGUAAGAAAGGUAGACAUCUCGAGAAGGCAUGCUCAGAAAAUUUUCUUUCAACUGAAUUUAUACAUUAUAUCUCACUUCGACUAAAGGUGAGAGCUUAAGCUCCUCAUUUUUUAAGAUUUACUCAGAACUCAGAAGCACCUUUCUUUGUUUAUAUUCCUUAUACUUUUUCAUUCACAGCUAGUUCUUGUCUAUCUAAUUCAGUUAUGCUCUCAUAUGGUAACAUCAUAACAGGAAACUAGUUUACCAUUCAAAACUAACUUCUACAUUUCCAGAUACCAUAUGGUUCACAAUAAUACCAGAAUCCCAGUAGGUUACCUGAAGCAGGAGUUCUUGCAUGUCCAGCAGUUCCUUCAGAAGUUGGGGACUUUUGCCACGUACGAGACUGAAAACUCUCGGAUGAAUUUCCAUCCUCUGAUGCACAUGCAG